CCUACGGGAGGCAGCAGUGAGGAAUAUUGGUCAAUGGGCUUACGCCUGAACCAGCCAAGUCGCGUGAGGGAAGACUGCUCUAUGGGUUGUAAACCUCUUUUGUCAGGGAGCAACGCCGGCUACGUGUAGCCGGACUGAGAGUACCUGAAGAAAAAGCAUCGGCUACCUCCGUGCAAGCAGCCGGGGUAAUACGGAGGAUGCGCUCGUUAUCCGGAUUUAUUGGGUUUAAGGGGUGCGUGGGCGGCAUGCCAAGUCAGCGGUAAAAUCCCGGGGUUCAACCUCGCUCUGCCGUUGAAACUGGCGUGCUUGAGAGUGCUAGAAGUAUGCGGAAUGCGUGGUGUAGCGGUGAAAUGCAUAGAUAUCACGCAGAACUCCGAUUGCGAAGGCAGCAUACCGGCGCCCAACUGACGCUGAAGCACGAAAGCGUGGGUAUCGAACAGGAUUAGAUACCCCGGUAGUC
rnacentral:rRNA from 1 species